rnacentral:tRNA from 1 species
GUCCUCGUAGCUCAGCUGGUAGAGCAUGCGCGUGCAAAGCGUAGGCGGUGUCCCUGCGUGAGUUCGAAUCCUAUCGAAGCUG